AACAGCCAAACCAAACCAAACCAAACAAUGCACAGUAAGACGAGGCAAACGCUCUCACACAAGGCAGGACAAGGAAACCCAAUAAGAGGAGAGAGUCCUAAGAACACAAAAAGGAGUCAGAGACACACCUGUUCCCACAGGGUAACCAUCACUCCGGGUUGUUAACCUGAGUUCAGCUUGAUUUCUGACAUGAUUAAGGUUUCCACAGCUUAACUUUGCCCUCCCUUCAUUUCUGGAUCUUGAAGACAGUACUGGUAUCAUCAGGUCAAGGGUGUCUGAGGUCCCCAGGCUCUUAAAGUGUGAGCAGUCCAGGAGAAGAACCAUUUGAAGCUCAGACCCAGGCUUAAGCUCAGUCUUCAGCUCAUAAGAAGAAGCAGGAGAGGUCACUAACCUGGAAACACAGACAAUGCCCUGAUUCUAUGAAAAAACACACCAAAAUGUGGUAAUAGAUACAGAUUUUAUUUUAAAAAAAAAUCACUGGAAUUUUUUAAAGAAAAUGGAUGAAGCACCCUUUUGUGAAUCAGAGAAAAAACACAACAAAUACAUCUGCCUUCUUAAAAGAUCUCUGAGCCUUGAGGAAGGGCUUUGAUGAAGGCAUCCCACUUAGGACUGAGUGUUCCAGAGGCUCUCGACAUUCUGAGACCUAUUGUCCAGCUGGGGCUUUCCAUGUCGGUUCCCAUCUACUGUGAGGAAAUCUUCACUGAUGAAGGCUGAGUGAAACGUGAUCUAUGGGUACAGGAGUAUAGUGUUAGGAUUCUCUUUAUUGUUUUUCCUUGAGCAGAAUGAUAGUCUUUUGAUACCUGCUGGCAAGCAAAAGGAAAUAUUUUCCAGAGGAGUCUCACUGGGCAUAUUAACCACACUGCAGGGCAAGACAAUUUUGCCACAUUUUGCUUUGCUUGGGUGCUUUUUGUCUCGUUGGGUUUUUUUAUUAUUUACUUUGAUUUCUUUUUUUUUUUUUAAGUUUUCAUGGAGAGGUUGGUAUGUUUCAAGUUUUGUUUUCCUUUGUUUUAAAGAGAACAGAAGAAAGAAUAUAAAGUUGGGUGGGUAGGGAGGUGGGUAGGGUCUUUAGAGGAAUUGGGGGAUGGAAAAAACAUGGUAAAAAUAAAAUAUAUGAAAAAAAUCACUAAAGAAAAACUAUGAAGAUUUUGGAUGCUGACUCAAGGAAUUUGACAUUCUUGAUAUGUUUAAGACUUACACUGAUAUGUAAAGUCCUACUACACAAGGCUAAGUGACCAUGCACUAAAGAGUUUCACGAACAUGUUCUCCGGAUUUGUUUCCAUAUCCCUUCUCAUUCUCCCCACUGUAUACACCAUGUAUUUUAUUCUCAUUGAGAUUUCACUUCUAAUUAUUUUUUAAUGCGAGCCAAUU
rnacentral:lncRNA from 1 species